AUACGUAGGGGGCGAGCGUUGUCCGGAAUGAUUGGGCGUAAAGGGCGCGUAGGCGGCCCGGUAAGUCUGGAGUGAAAGUCCUGUUUUUAAGAUGGGAAUUGCUUUGGAUACUGUCGGGCUUGAGUGCAGGAGAGGUAAGUGGAAUUCCCAGUGUAGUGGUGAAAUGCGUAGAGAUUGGAGGAACACCAGUGGCGAAGGCGACUUACUGGACUGUAACUGACGCUGAGGCGCGAAAGUGUGGGGAGCAAACAGGAUUAGAUACCCUGGUAGUCCACACUGUAAACGAUGAAUGCUAGGUGUAGGGGGUAUCGACCCCUUCUGUGCCGCAGUCAACACAAUAAGCAUUCCGCCUGGGGAGUACGGCCGCAAGGUUGAAACUCAAAUGAAUUGGCGGGG
rnacentral:rRNA from 1 species